rnacentral:rRNA from 1 species
AUCCUGGCUCAGGAUGAACGCUAGCUACAGGCUUAACACAUGCAAGUCGAGGGGCAGCAUGUCGGUUGCUUGCAACCGAUGAUGGCGACCGGCGCACGGGUGAGUAACGCGUAUCCAACCUACCCUUGUCCCAUCGGAUAACCCGUCGAAAGGCGGCCUAACACGAUAUGCGGUUCUCAGCAGGCAUCUAACGAGAACGAAAUGUGAAGGAGAAGGAUGGGGAUGCGUCUGAUUAGCUUGUUGGCGGGGUAACGGCCCACCAAGGCGACGAUCAGUAGGGGUUCUGAGAGGAAGGUCCCCCACAUUGGAACUGAGACACGGUCCAAACUCCUACGGGAGGCAGCAGUGAGGAAUAUUGGUCAAUGGACGGGAGUCUGAACCAGCCAAGUAGCGUGCAGGAUGACGGCCCUAUGGGUUGUAAACUGCUUUUAUAGGGGGAUAAAGUGUGCCACGUGUGGCAUAUUGCAGGUACCCUAUGAAUAAGGACCGGCUAAUUCCGUG